rnacentral:rRNA from 1 species
UACGUAGGGUGCGAGCGUUGUCCGGAAUUAUUGGGCGUAAAGGGCUCGUAGGCGGUCUGUCACGUCGGGAGUGAAAACUCAGGGCUUAACCCUGAGCCUGCUUCCGAUACGGGCAGACUAGAGGUAUGCAGGGGAGAACGGAAUUCCUGGUGUAGCGGUGAAAUGCACAGAUAUCAGGAGGAACACCGGUGGCGAAGGCGGUUCUCUGGGCAUUACCUGACGCUGAGGAGCGAAAGUGUGGGGAGCGAACAGG